CAUAGGGUAGUUUAAUUUAUGAUCUUAGCUUUGGGAGUUAGGGGUGGGAGUUAAAAUCUCCCCCCUCUGA
rnacentral:tRNA from 1 species